UAUUGAAAGCAAGGGAGUUCUUUAAGGAUCUGAGAGGAGGGUGAUACCCUCGACCUAACCUGAUUUGGAUAAUGCCAACGGAGGGAAGCGAUAGUUUAGCAGAA
rnacentral:ncRNA from 1 species